GACGAACGCUGGCGGCGUGCUUAACACAUGCAAGUCGAACGGUGACCUCGAGAGCUUGCUCUUGGGUGAUCAGUGGCGAACGGGUGAGUAACACGUGAGGAACCUGCCCCAGACUCUGGAAUAACCCCGGGAAACCGGAGCUAAUACCGGAUAUGACAUCAGGCCGCAUGGUCAUGGUGUGGAAAGUUUUUCGGUCUGGGAUGGCCUCGCGGCCUAUCAGCUUGUUGGUGUGGUAGUGGCUCACCAAGGCGACGACGGGUAGCCGGCCUGGGAGGGCGACCGGCCACACUGGGACUGAGACACGGCCCAGACUCCUACGGGAGGCAGCAGUGGGGAAUAUUGCACAAUGGGCGAAAGCCUGAUGCAGCGACGCCGCGUGAGGGAUGACGGCCUUCGGGUUGUAAACCUCUUUCAGUAGGGAAGAAGCGCAAGUGACGGUACCUACAGAAGAAGCACCGGCUAACUACGUGCCAGCAGCCGCGGUAAUAC
rnacentral:rRNA from 1 species